CUUGAGUCUUUCUAAUUUCCUGGACCAUUGACAGAAUCAGCAAGAACAGGUGGUAGAAUUCAUAUCAGGUGGAAUUGAGAAUCUGGAGAUUUGGUCCCAAGUCUGUCUCUGAAUCACUUGUGACCUCGAAACAAUCACAGAUGGGGUCUUAUGGUGUUGCCCAGGCUGGUCUCGAACUCCUUGAGCUCAAGUGAUCCUCACACCUUGGCAUCCCAAAAUGCUAGGAUUACAGGUGUUUCGGCGUGAGAUUAGCAUUCAGACUGGUGGACUCAGUAAAGCAGACAGCCUUUUCCAGUGUGAGUGGGUAUCAUUCAAUCGUUGAAGGCAUGAAGAGAACAAAAAAGUGAGGAAGAAUUCGCCUUCUUUCUUGCUGCCCACCUGCUUGGGCUGGGACAUCUCAUCUCACCUUCUCCAGCCUUUGGAUGAGGAUUUACACCCUGGUUCUCAGGCCUUCAGGCUUGAACUGGAGCUACACUAUCAGCUUUCCUGGGUCUCCAGAUUGUGGAUGGUAGAUCACGGCUUCGAGGCAAGCAGGGAGCACUUCUGCCUCACGGCUAUAAAUGUGGCUGUCGCCAACUUGCUAAAUGCUUCAUUGUUUCAUUUCGGCCUUCAUCAGCAGUGGGAAGAAGUGGUUUUCGUCACUUCUCAGAAUGGAAAAUGAUCCAGGGACAGUUUAUCAAGUAAUAUCUAUGUGCCAGAGAGUGCUGACCAGAGAAAUGACAGAAUUGUGCCCCUGAAAAGCUAAGUAAAACAUUAUUAAGGAGUUCUCGCGAUACUGAUGAGAGAGCUGCACUAGAUUUAAGACGCUGAUUCAGGACAAGUAAGCCCAGUACAUAACAAAGACUUCUAAGAAAAUCUCUGUAUAUUAUACUGUAGUGAAGAGGGAAUUGGAUUGGAGAAAAUUCAACACAGAAUCGUAGUUGCAUAUGGAUGGAUGUAUUCGUGAAAGCUCAGAUAUCCCAGGUAUCCAGGUUUGCCCUUAAGCCACUACUAAAUGAUAGUAGUUAUUCUUAUUUCUUAAUAUCUUCAGAGAGAGUGUGUCCACAUUGUUCCCAUAAGGCUUACGCCCA
rnacentral:lncRNA from 13 species